CAUCAUCAUUUCUCCUCCAUCAUCAUUUCUCGCCGUCGAGCUCCUCCUCCGCGACCAACCCUUCUCCUCCAUCAUCAUUUCUCGCCGUCGAGCUCCUCCUCCGCGAGCAGCCCUUCUCCUCUGCGAUCUCGCCUUCAACCUCCUCCGCCUUCAGCCCUCCUCCGCGAUCUCGCCGUCGAGCUCCUCUCUCUCUCCUCUUCUCUUUGCUCAACUGAGAAACCCCCAGAUACUUGAUAGCUUCAAUAUUGUCGCGGUGAUCAUACUGGUUGUCGCUAAGUUCCCAACCAUGCACAAAGUCCGUCUCUUUGGAAUCAAUUCUGGUCAAUAGUAAGCUUGUGUAAUGUUGAAGAUAUCAUCUUUGUAAGCUUGUGUAAUGUUGCGGAUAUCUUCUUUGUAAGCUUGUGUAAUGUUGCGGAUAUCUUCUUUGUAAGCUUGUGUAAUGUUGCGGAUAUCUUCUUUGUAAGCUUGUGUAAUGUUGCGGAUAUCUUCUUUGUAAGCUUGUGUAAUGUUGCGGAUAUCUUCUUUGUAAGCUUGUGUAAUGUUGCGGAUAUCUUCUUUGUAAGCUUGUGUAAGGUUGCAGAUAUCACCUUUGGUAUCUAUUUAAUUUAUGUGGAAUUAAUGCGUAAAGAACUUCAAGAAAUGU